rnacentral:rRNA from 1 species
AACGAACGCUGGCGGCAGGCCUAACACAUGCAAGUCGAGCGCGCCCUUCGGGGUGAGCGGCGGACGGGUUAGUAACGCGUGGGAAUAUGCCCAAAGGUACGGAAUAGCCUCUGGAAACGGAGAGUAAUACCGUAUGUGCCCUUCGGGGGAAAGAUUUAAUCGCCCUUUGGAUUUAGCCCGCGUUUAGAUUAGGUAGUUGGUGGGGUAAUGGCCUACCAAGCCUACGAUCUAUAGCUGGUUUUAGAGGAUGAUCAGCAACACUGGGACUGAGACACGGCCCAGACUCCUACGGGAGGCAGCAGUGGGGAAUCUU